ensembl:lncRNA
GUGAGUAGCAGCAGUGGGAAGGUGAUUUUAAUUUUUGAGGUGUUCACAGUGAAUCUGGCUGCUUGCAGGAGGAAACACUUCUUGAGUUUGAAGAUUCUAUUCUGAAUAAUUCUUAGUCUCUUCCUAGAUGGGAGGAAGGGUGACAGGGGUCCUUCCUGAUGAACAUUGUUUUCCUCACACAGCUCUCUUUGACUUCCUCUGUGACUCUUCAGUCUUCAUGUAAGGCCUACUAGUGCUUUGAGGUAACCAUGGCCCAUCUUUUAAAACACUUUGUGUAUCAUGGUGAAAGUCAUAGAAGCAUGACUACUCUGAAAUCCAAUCCGGCACCUCAUUUUAGAGGAUCUCCCUCCUCACACACCAACGAAAGACGUUUGUGCUGACCUAUAGCAUGCAUAUAUUUCAUGAAAAAUCUUCUAUUAUGAGUGUGCUUGCCACAACAUACAGUUGAAAUAACGAACUUUAUCAUGCAAAAGAUGUGACGUGAACAGCUCCUAUCUAGGCUGCUGUCAUUAGACCAAAUGCACGGAUACAGUACUGAUAUAUAUAUGAAUUUUCUUUCUCAACUGUUUACAAUUACUUAAACUACUAAAACUACUUAAAUGACUGUGCUUACAAGUAUACUCACCAGGACAGCCAUUUUGAUGUCAUUUUGUGUGUAUUUGGCCACUUAAGCUAAACAAACUAAGAAAAAUAACUCAAUAGGAAACUCACAAUGCAGCUUUAGAUGUGACUGUGAGCACACAGAAAGCCCCAUCUGUGGUGUGUGAGUACCAAAUGGCUUAAAUAGAAAUUACUGUAGUAGAAGCAGUCCAGCAGCAGAGGAGUGUUUUGUAUCUUUUCUCAUUAGAUUUUAGUAUGGUUGUCGUUGCUAGGACACAUUGUUUUGUUUACUGUGUUAACCGUGGUAAACAUGUGCUCAAGCCGCAUUUGUUCUUGUGCGUAUUGCAUGGCUUUGCAGUUUCGGCCAGGUAUAAUUUACUUUGUUUGCAAGUACUUGUUAGUAGAAGCAGUCGAGCAGCAGAAGAGGACAGCAGUAUUGUUGUCUGCGUUUGGAUGUUCGUGUUUUCCCGGAACCUCAUCCACUCUACGCACUUCCACUCAGCCACAAAUACUUACCUUCGGCUCUUUUCCCCGCAGUUCCUGUGCCAUCCUCUCCUGCUGCCUUCUCACCGUCAUCAUCCGGUUUCCUCACCACCUCACCACCAUCUUGGAUUGUUGUCUUCCCAGCAUCAUUGUCUUUUUCCUGUUUGUUUGUUUAUUUAUUUUCAUUAAAUCGUCUAACUCGCUAUUGUUUCCAGUCCUUCCUUCACCCCACCGUCACAGAACAAUCUCACCCAUAUGGAAGCAGCAAGCACCAACACCCUCACGGACUUUAUGCACCACAGUGUGAAACAAAUGGAUCAGCAGCAGGAGAGCAUCUCGAACACCGGACGCGCUGUCCAAGCGCUGGUGGCACAGGUGUCCGAGCUCACCCAGCAGAUCCAUCAGCUCACCUCUCCCACUGCGCCCGUCCCCCGUGAGACCCCCCAGGAUCACUUCCGGCCAGAGCCGCGACUUCCUGCGCCUGAAAGCUACUCCGGUGAGCCAGCCUUUUGCAGAACUUUCUUGAAUAAAUGUUCUAUGCAUUUCGCUUUGCAGCCCUGCACCUUCGCCACAGAGGAAUCCAAAGUGGCGUUUACGCUCACGUUACUGUUGGGCAAGGCCGCCCUAUGGGGGACGGCGGUGUGGGAGAAUCAACAUCUGUGUUGUGCCUCGUUCCAUGCCCUCUCGGAGCAGAUGAGGAGGGUAUUCGAUUGAGCCGCGGCCGGCAGGGAGGCCGCUCACCAGCUCUCAGAACUUCGUCAAGGCACGUCAUUAUCAUGUCACGGAUUACUCCAUCGAAUUCCGUACCCUGGCGGCCGUGUGCCAGUGGAACGAGGCCACGCAGUGGGAUCGAUUCCUGCAUGGGUUAUCCGACCGUGUUCAAAAGGAGAUCUACCUCCUUGAGCUGCCCCCCACACUUAACGGAUUAAUCGACUUGGCCUUACGAGUUGAUGCCUGGAUUAACCGCCUGGGUCGCCAGCCUAGUCCACCGCGUCAUACCAUCUCUCCAGCUAGGGGGCGCUCGAGUCGAGAGAACUCAGUCGGUCCCGUCGACAACCACGAGCCCAUGCAGGUGGGUAGAGCUCGGCUGUCCCGGAGGGAGGGGGAACAGCGGAGAUCCCAAGGACUAUGUUUAUACUGUGGAGGCUCAGAACACAACAUCUACUCAUGCCCGGAGCCGAAGGUAAUUUCAUUGAUUCUUCCCUUGCACAUCACCUGAACAUUCCUGUCCUACCUGUGUCUCUCCCCAUCCAUGUCACCGCACUCAACGGCCAGGAACUGCCUCACGUCACACACCACACAUAACCCAUCACACUACUCACUUCUGGAAAUCAUCGCG